ACUCCUACGGGAGGCAGCAGUGGGGAAUAUUGCACAAUGGGCGCAAGCCUGAUGCAGCAACGCCGUGUGAGUGAAGAAGGUUUUCGGAUCGUAAAACUCUGUCCUAAGGGAAGAAAAUGACGGUACCUUAGGAGGAAGACCCGCAGCUACNGCGCCAGCGCGGUAAUACGUAGGGNGAAGCGUUAUCCGGGAAUCACUGGGCGUAAAGGGUGCGUAGGCGGCUUAGCAAGCCAGGGUGAAAGGCAUUGGCUCAACCAAUGUAAGCCUUUGGAACUGUUAAGCUUGAGUGCAGGAGAGGUAAGUGGAAUUCCUAGUGUAGAGGUGAAAUUCGUAGAUAUUAGGAGGAACACCAGUGGCGAAGGCGACUUACUGGACUGUAACUGACGCUGAUGCACGAAAGCGUGGGUAGCGAACAGGA
rnacentral:rRNA from 1 species